rnacentral:rRNA from 1 species
GACGAAGGGGGCUAGCGUUGUUCGGAAUUAUUGGGCGUAAAGCGCGCGCAGGCGGUCCUUUAAGUCUGAUGUGAAAGCCCACGGCUCAACCGUGGAGGGUCAUUGGAAACUGGGGGACUUGAGUGCAGAAGAGGAGAGUGGAAUUCCACGUGUAGCGGUGAAAUGCGUAGAGAUGUGGAGGAACACCAGUGGCGAAGGCGACUCUCUGGUCUGUAACUGACGCUGAGGCGCGAAAGCGUGGGGAGCAAACAGG